rnacentral:rRNA from 1 species
GGGUUGUGAGGUUAAGCGACUAAGCGUACACGGUGGAUGCCCUGGCAGUCAGAGGCGAUGAAGGACGUGCUAAUCUGCGAAAAGCGUCGGUAAGGUGAUAUGAACCGUUAUAGCCGGCGAUGUCCGAAUGGGGAAACCCAGUGCAAUUCGUUGCACUAUCGUUAACUGAAUACAUAGGUUAACGAGGCGAACCGGGGGAACUGAAACAUCUAAGUACCCCGAGGAAAAGAAAUCAACCGAGAUUCCCCCAGUAGCGGCGAGCGAACGGGGAGCAGCCCGGAGUCUGAAUCAGCUUGUGUGUUAGUGGAAGCGUCUGGAAAGUCGCAGGGUACAGGGUGAUACUCCCGUACACUAAAACGCACAGGUUGUGAACUCGAAGAGUAGGGCGGGACACGUGGUAUCCUGUCUGAAUAUGGGGGGACCAUCCUCCAAGGCUAAAUACUCCUGACUGACCGAUAGUGAACCAGUACCGUGAGGGAAAGGCGAAAAGAACCCCGGCGAGGGGAGUGAAAAAGAACCUGAAACCGUGUACGUACAAGCAGUAGGAGCCCACUAGUUGGGUGACUGCGUACCUUUUGUAUAAUGGGUCAGCGACUUAUAUUCUGUAGCAAGGUUAACCGUAUAGGGGAGCCGCAGGGAAACCGAGUCUUAACUGGGCGUUAAGUUGCAGGGUAUAGACCCGAAACCCGGUGAUCUAGCCAUGGGCAGGUUGAAGGUUGGGUAACACUAACUGGAGGACCGAACCGACUAAUGUUGAAAAAUUAGCGGAUGACUUGUGGCUGGGGGUGAAAGGCCAAUCAAACCGGGAGAUAGCUGGUUCUCCCCGAAAGCUAUUUAGGUAGCGCCUCGUGAACUCAUCUUCGGGGGUAGAGCACUGUUUCGGCUAGGGGGUCAUCCCGACUUACCAACCCGAUGCAAACUACGAAUACCGAAGAAUGUUAUCACGGGAGACACACGGCGGGUGCUAACGUCCGUCGUGAAGAGGGAAACAACCCAGACCGCCAGCUAAGGUCCCAAAGUCAUGGUUAAGUGGGAAACGAUGUGGGAAGGCCCAGACAGCCAGGAUGUUGGCUUAGAAGCAGCCAUCAUUUAAAGAAAGCGUAAUAGCUCACUGGUCGAGUCGGCCUGCGCGGAAGAUGUAACGGGGCUAAACCAUGCACCGAAGCUGCGGCAGCGACACUAUGUGUUGUUGGGUAGGGGAGCGUUCUGUAAGCCGUUGAAGGUGGCCUGUGAGGGUUGCUGGAGGUAUCAGAAGUGCGAAUGCUGACAUAAGUAACGAUAAUGCGGGUGAAAAACCCGCACGCCGGAAGACCAAGGGUUCCUGUCCAACGUUAAUCGGGGCAGGGUGAGUCGACCCCUAAGGCGAGGCCGAAAGGCGUAGUCGAUGGGAAACAGGUUAAUAUUCCUGUACUCGGUGUUACUGCGAAGGGGGGACGGAGAAGGCUAUGUUGGCCGGGCGACGGUUGUCCCGGUUUAAGCAUGUAGGCGGAUGUUCCAGGUAAAUCCGGAGCGUCACUAACGCUGAGGUGUGAUGACGAGGCACUACGGUGCUGAAGUGACAAAUGCCCUGCUUCCAGGAAAAGCCUCUAAGCAUCAGGUAACAUCAAAUCGUACCCCAAACCGACACAGGUGGUCAGGUAGAGAAUACCAAGGCGCUUGAGAGAACUCGGGUGAAGGAACUAGGCAAAAUGGUGCCGUAACUUCGGGAGAAGGCACGCUGAUGGUAAGUGAAGCGACUUGCUCGUGGAGCUGAAAUCAGUCGAAGAUACCAGCUGGCUGCAACUGUUUAUUAAAAACACAGCACUGUGCAAACACGAAAGUGGACGUAUACGGUGUGACGCCUGCCCGGUGCCGGAAGGUUAAUUGAUGGGGUUAUCCGUAAGGAGAAGCUCUUGAUCGAAGCCCCGGUAAACGGCGGCCGUAACUAUAACGGUCCUAAGGUAGCGAAAUUCCUUGUCGGGUAAGUUCCGACCUGCACGAAUGGCGUAAUGAUGGCCAGGCUGUCUCCACCCGAGACUCAGUGAAAUUGAACUCGCUGUGAAGAUGCAGUGUACCCGCGGCAAGACGGAAAGACCCCGUGAACCUUUACUAUAGCUUGACACUGAACACUGGUCCUUGAUGUGUAGGAUAGGUGGGAGGCUUUGAAGUGUGGACGCCAGUCUGCAUGGAGCCAUCCUUGAAAUACCACCCUUUAAUGGCUGGUGUUCUAACGUGGGCCCCUAAUCGGGGUUGCGGACAGUGUCUGGUGGGUAGUUUGACUGGGGCGGUCUCCUCCUAAAGAGUAACGGAGGAGCACGAAGGUCAGCUAAUCCUGGUCGGACAUCAGGAGGUUAGUGCAAUGGCAUAAGCUGGCUUGACUGCGAGCGUGACGGCGCGAGCAGGUGCGAAAGCAGGUCAUAGUGAUCCGGUGGUUCUGAAUGGAAGGGCCAUCGCUCAACGGAUAAAAGGUACUCCGGGGAUAACAGGCUGAUACCGCCCAAGAGUUCAUAUCGACGGCGGUGUUUGGCACCUCGAUGUCGGCUCAUCACAUCCUGGGGCUGAAGUAGGUCCCAAGGGUAUGGCUGUUCGCCAUUUAAAGUGGUACGCGAGCUGGGUUUAGAACGUCGUGAGACAGUUCGGUCCCUAUCUGCCGUGGGCGCUGGAGAAUUGAGGGGGGCUGCUCCUAGUACGAGAGGACCGGAGUGGACGCAUCACUGGUGUUCGGGUUGUCAUGCCAAUGGCAUUGCCCGGUAGCUAAAUGCGGAAGAGAUAAGUGCUGAAAGCAUCUAAGCACGAAACUUGCCCCGAGAUGAGUUCUCCCUGACCCUUUAAGGGUCCUGAAGGAACGUUGAAGACGACGACGUUGAUAGGCCGGGUGUGUAAGCGCAGCGAUGCGUUGAGCUAACCGGUACUAAUGAACCGUGAGGCUUAACCUUACAACGCCGAAG